GACGAACACUGGCGGCGUGCUUAACACAUUCAAGUCGAACGGAAAGGCCCUGCUUUUGUGGGGUGCUCGAGUGGCGAACGGGUGAGUAACACGUGAGUAACCUGCCCUUGACUUUGGGAUAACUUCAGGAAACUGGGGCUAAUACCGGAUAGGAGCUCCUGCUGCAUGGUGGGGGUUGGAAAGUUUCGGCGGUUGGGGAUGGACUCGCGGCUUAUCAGCUUGUUGGUGGGGUAGUGGCUUACCAAGGCUUUGCCGGGUAGCCGGCCUGGGAGGGUGACCGGCCACAUUGGGACUGAGAUACGGCCCAGACUCCUACGGGAGGCAGCAGUGGGGAAUAUUGCACAAUGGGCGGAAGCCUGAUGCAGCAACGCCGCGUGCGGGAUGACGGCCUUCGGGUUGUAAACCGCUUUCGCCUGUGACGAAGCGUGAGUGACGGUAAUGGGUAAAGAAGCACCGGCUAACUACGUG
rnacentral:rRNA from 1 species